UGUCAUAACCAUUGUCCACCAAAGAGCAGCACUGAGCAGAAAUAACACUGCUCCUGUUCAUUCUCCAUCAGUGAGGGGCCGGUGCUGGACACUGUGUAGGGACGCGGGAAUGCAAAGUCAUACACAUGACUGUGACUGAUGCACUAUCUCCAGGACAUGGAGUAGCAUUUCCGGACCUACAGCAAGACGUUGGAUGAAGGCAUAGCCCCAGAAAUAACACUGGUCCUGUUCAUCAGUGAGGGGCCGGUGCUGGACACUGUGUAGGGACACGGGAAUGCAAAGUCAUGCACAUGACUGUGACUGAUGCACUAUUUCCAGGACAUGGAGUAGCAUUUCGGGACCUACAGCAAGACGUUGGAUGACGGCACAGGCCUAGGAAUCAUGCACAUACACAGAAACAUUUGCCCAAAUUAUAGAGGUAACCUCCUUUAGUAUGCCCAGAGGAAGGGCCAUACAGUAGCCAUGGAUUCCCUACAGGUUUCCUCCCCUCUGGAGGUUUUUCCUGUCCUGAGUAUUAGUUACUGUACGCUCUUUGUGAGUGAUGGGAGGUUACAAAAAAUCCCCUACACAAACAUUUUAAUAAAUUAUAAAUAAAGU